rnacentral:sRNA from 1 species
GGAGGUGGAAGAGGAGAGAGUCCGUUUCAGCAAUUAUCAAGCAAAAGUCAGCGCCAUUGAGUGCGUUUCCAAAAAGUUAAUCAAUACAAAGCUGUGGAAGCAGCUAAAGCUUUAUAACCUAUAACCAUAUGUCUUGGCAAAGCAGCGGCCGGAGCGGUUUGGGGCAUGCGACUUAGUCACGGGUGUGCUGGGAGAUGUGCCUCCGCUGCAGCCACAUACUGUAUGCUAGAUUAGCCGUUAAUGAUUAGCCAAGGCAGUGUACGGCCAGUUAGUUAGUAUUUAUGCAAUAGCAGGCAUAGUCAUGUAAGUGAAAAGCUACCGAAACUGCAUUUUGAGCCGAAGCAAGCAUCAACAUAUACACACAUUCGCAUAUGUUACAAUUGUUUUAAUUAUUGGACCGAAGGGCCAGCGAGAAUUGAUUGUUUUGUAAUUGAAAAAUAAAUAGAAUUGUAUACAUCAUGUUUGUAGUAGUUACCAACAACUCGCUUGUCUAAAGUUGUCAUUUUCACGGCAUUAACAUUUACAUAAAUACACACAUAGUUCAAGCUUAA